CUGGGAUCAAGGCAAGGUGCUUUCAUUAAUUUUCAACACCAGUUUCCUGGCUGUGAAGCAUUGUUUGCCCAGAGGACUCACCUGCUCGUGGUGCUGGGGGCUGUCACCUGUUCUGCUGACUGUUCCACUUUCUCCCUUGGGUUAGUGCCCAGGUUUUCAUGUUAACCCAUCUCCGUUUCCAGAUGCUCUGGGUUUGUGGCAGUCUGGCUGAAGCUCAGAACAAAACUCAAGGGAGUCCAGCAUUGCAUGCGGAGUUUCUGCUGCUGUGUUAAUUGAAAGAGAGAGAAGGCAGAGGAAUUACACUGUGUUUCUCAAAGCACAGGCAGCGUACUUACAGAUGAGCUUAUUAUGAGAAGAAGCCGCAUACAGACAGGAUUCUGCUACCUGUGGCAGAAAAAAGGUUUGAUCUGCGCAGGACCUCUCCAGACCCCUUCACCCUCACUUGGGAGGAAAAAUCGAACAGCAAGAAGGACAUGCUCAGAGGAGUUGGAUUACAGCUUACACGUGUAUUCGAACCCAGAGUUACACAACUGCAUGAAGAGCUGUGUGCAGAAAUGCUUUCUGAUUUCUGCUUACAACAGCCUAGGAAUUACUGCAUGGCAGCGUGUCAGCCUCCAAAAUCCUCAAAAAGCCCAUGAAAAGAACUGCUGUAUUUCCUUUGGAAAAACAGGAUGGCAGCGUAAGGAAAAAAAAAAUGUGUUAGAAUGUGUUACAGCUUGACUUUAUUGGGAUAUGGAAAUGUCAGAGAGUUUCGGAUGUACUGAUGGGUGUCACCAUUCAAACUGGACAAGGAAUUUGUUUGGGGAUAGGGUUUGUUGUCCUCAACGCCUCGCGACCCGCUGUGAGGACAGGGGUGCUGCCCAGCACUGGGAACGCGUCAGUGGAAAAUCACGAGGUUUUCUUUGAGGAACAAUGGAAUUUCUCAAAGGUUAGCAGCGUGCAGUGAGGAAGGUCAAUGAGAUGACUGCUUGGACCGUCCUCAAAGCCAAGCGAGAGGUACUGGUGCCUGGCCUGGGGGUGCACAGCCAUGAGUGAGGCUUUGUGACAGCAGCAACCUGUAAAGCUCGAGCAGAGGAGGUGGCUCUCCUGAAAGCUGCUGGCAGAGCCAGGCUGCUGAAAUAGAAGGACUGCUGACCAGCCGUUCCUGCACUCUUCACCGUUUGCCAAAAUGUAAUUUAUUUUUUUUUACAGCCAGUGGCUGAAAAUAGGAAAAAAUAAAAGAGCACGGUGCGGUGCUGGCACAGCGCAGAGCAAGUUGUUUCCUGAUAUUAAAACAGUGGUCAAGCCACAGGUCGUAAGCACUGCCAUUUGCAAUUCUUUCUGCUGAAUAAAAGGAGGCCCGAUCUGAUUAUACGGCAGAUAGGUUACUUCUAAGUAGAAGCAGGCUUUUAAAGGCCACCCUGCUCUUUUUUGACACUGGAUGUUUAAUUAUAAUUGUCUCUUUGCCCUCUUUAAUGUUUUCCAGCACGGAAUGCCUUUAAUUUAAAGGAAAUAGUUGCAUCAUCUAUGGGAACAUCCCAGUAACAAGAAAGAGACCCGUGGGGAGGGUAAACUUAGGAAGAAAGCAAGUGGUGGGCAAUCAUACAGACACCUUCAUCUUCUCCAGUUCCAUCCUCUCUGCUGCCACCGGCAGACAUGAACAGAAACAGGAGAUCAGUUGUCCUGUGGCUGGACAUUGCAUUGUUUGCCAUGUGUACGCACUGAAGAGAAAACUCUCCCAUGGCGUAAACAUCUUCACGUCCCAUAACGAAAGAAAUCAGCCCACCUGUCAGUGCUCAUCUUGCUUCAAGAACCGGCUUUCUAUGUUAUGUUGUCCUGCCAUGUGGUAGGCAAAGGUGAGGAAGGGUUGCACCGCAACGCCGCUCAUUCACAGAGGAAUCCGUUCUGCAAAAAUUGGAGAGAUUCUAAAAUCUAUUUCUUAAUAUCUAUAAGCUUCAGGAGCACAACAUUAACAUUUCUCCUCCUCCUCCACUGUGGCACAGGCUGAGAGGAUGCUGAAGUACAGGUGCCUGUCACCUGCCUGAGGGCGGCACACAGCCAGUAGCCGAAGCACAGCAAUCUCAGCAGCUGUAAACCGAUCUCUUCAGCCCAAGUUCAUUUACUUGGCUCCAAUGUGUAGACUGCCUUCAUACACGUUUAGCAGUGAGAUUUGCAAAACUGAGAACUGUGCUAUAAAAUACAGCUUUCUAGCGUGGUAUCAAAACCCGAUGAUGAAUUUGACACGCUGGGAGGCAGAGGUUUGGGCCGGAGGAAAGAUGACUUAGAACUAAGGAAAGCGAAAUGCUGAAGGGAACUUGGCAUAGUAAAACUGCUGUAGGCAGGGGAAAAUUAUGACUUUACUGAAGAAGAGAAAAAAAAGUUUUACUACUGGCUUCUGACCUUAUUGGCUUCUCAAAUGUAUACAGGGAAUGGAGAAUAAUUACCAAACAAUUUGUAGUGAGAAUUGGCUGCUCCCUGUCGUGCUAGAUGCACGUGCUGCCUUUGCUGCAGCAUCCUCCGCCAGCGCUUCCCUCUCCUUGCGCUGCCGCUCACCAUGCAGAGCCCCAGCUGGCGGCUGCCAGCAGCUCUGGAAAUGCAGGGCCUUGGGCUGCAGGCUGGAAAUUCUUGUUUCCAGGAGCAGCUUAAGGCCUGUGGAAAACUCCCACUGACUUUGCUGGGAUUAUCCAUCUGCGGAAAGUUAUUUGGAGGGAAGUGCAUUCCUUUGUAGAAUGGCUGGCAACAGGUCCGGGCAGUGCUUCGGUCUCAGUUCUGGUGUAUUGUUUUUGUUGGGCUGCAUUCAUUCUGUGCCUUGCACAAUGGGGCUGUGCUCCAUCACUAGAGCUCGCACUUUCCAUUUUAGUCUAAUAAAAGUAGGAUUAAAAAAAGAAAGCCCAACUUGAAUGCAUAAAUGUUUUCAGAUAGCGGACCCCUCGGGCUCUGCCAUGUUUGUCUUUGAGCACUCUCAUAGAGUUUAGAGCACAGCUCUGCCUGAGGAGCGUAGAUUCAGAGUGACCCAUCUGUUGUCAGGGCUUCUGGGGACUCAGGUGAGGAAAAUUGCAGUGUAAAUAGGAAAUGAGACCAGGGACAAUGUUCUGCCUGUGUUUUCUGAGCGUUACUGUUCCUUACACUCUUUUCAUAUUUUUACAUUUCUCUUUAUAGUGGUUUUAUGAUCUCAUUCCUCCAUGUAAUUUCAAAAGUACUCCAAUAUCUAAUUGGAAGGUUGAGGAGAAAAGUCCCCAGGCUAGCUUGUUUAAGAAGAAUGUUAUCUGCUGUCUGCUCAACUUACCUUCUGUGAAGCUCCAAGGCAAAGAAUCCUAUGCUGCAUUUAAACUUAAGAGUUUGCUAGUAAAAAUACCCUUCUUCCUGAGGUUAUUUAAAAUGAGAGCCUGCAUUUCUCACAUCCCACUGUUGUCUGAAAUACAAAAUCCCAUCCUAUAUUGCUAUGCCAGAAAAUGUUAGCGGAUAAAGUGCCGAGCAGGUCACAGUAUUUCUAAUUCAGAUUAAUGACCCCAUUCAGCUUGUCUCCUUAGCAGGAAAUUAGAAAGUGCUGGGAAGGAGAAAAUAGUGAUUCAUAAUGCGUGACUCUUUGUAUUGGCAGUUGCACUCAUUAAACACUAAGAUACUGUUUUGAUAUAAAAUAAUUGAGUCUGACUUAUUUAUGGGAUAUGGCUGUCUCAGAUUGCAGAGAUUCCCUGGAAGGACUGCUGGCUCUGUGCCUCAGUGGAGGAAAAAGAGGUGACUGAUGCCCAUUGGCAACCCCUGGCCAGGUGAAGCACAAAAGAAGUGCACAGAAAAUGACCACUGCUGCUCUGCUUAGAGAGGGGAAAACACCUUCUUCAGGAAGGUUUGGAGCAGACAGGGACAAAGUGAUGGUAAACCUCCUGGGAAAGCAGCUUGCACUGACUGCAUAAUUUGAUAACUGCAGUUACAAGAGGAUGACUCCUCACAUCAGCACGGCUCCUGGCCUCUCUGGACUUGAUGUGGGUACAACAGUGGUCAGCCAUGGUCUGUGUGCAUCCUUCAGGCUGAGCCCAGGAUACAGCUCUACACCCCUCUCUGCUCCCCAGCCACAGUCUCCCCUCACCAGGGGGUUCCAGCCUUCCUCUGGCCUCAUGCAUGUGCACCAUCACUUGGUAAUGCUGAAGAUGCCCCAUCUCUGGAUGCAUUCAAGGCUGGAUGUGGCUCUAGGCAGCCUGGUCGGGUGGUUGGCGACCCUGCACAUAGCAGGAGGGUUGAAACUGGAUGAUCACUGUAGUCCUUUUCAACUCAGGCCAUCCUAUGAUUCUAUGAUUUUGGCUGGAGAAAGUGUGCUGGUUCCAGAGCAAUUACACUGAAGUUUGUAUAGAAAUGUGGGAAAGUUCUCUCUUUGUCAGAGUUUUUGACAAAUAAACUUACUUCAAUGCCCA
ensembl:lncRNA